UACGAAGGGGGCUAGCGUUGCUCGGAAUCACUGGGCGUAAAGGGUGCGUAGGCGGGUCUUUAAGUCAGGGGUGAAAUCCUGGAGCUCAACUCCAGAACUGCCUUUGAUACUGAAGAUCUUGAGUCCGGGAGAGGUGAGUGGAACUGCGAGUGUAGAGGUGAAAUUCGUAGAUAUUCGCAAGAACACCAGUGGCGAAGGCGGCUCACUGGCCCGGUACUGACGCUGAGGCACGAAAGCGUGGGGAGCAAACGGG
rnacentral:rRNA from 1 species